GCCAGGCGCGGUGGCUCACGUCUGUAAUCCCAGCACUUUGGGAGGCCGAGGCGGGCGGAUCACAAGGUCAGGAGAUUGAGACCAUCCUGGCUAACACUGUGAAACCCCGUCUCUAUUAAAAAAUACAAAAAAUUAGCCAGGUGUGGUGGCGGGCGCCUGUAGUCCCAGCUACUCAGGAGGCUGAGGCAGGAGAAUGGGGUUUCACCAUGUUAGCCAGGAUGGUCUCGAUCUCCUGACCUUGUGAUCUGCCCGCCUCG
rnacentral:sRNA from 1 species